UUUGAGGUUGAGAGCAAAUCGGACUCGGAAGGAACAGGAGCUUAUCCAGUGUGAAUACAGCUUCAGCUUACUCUCAGUGGCCUCCUCAUCAAACAUGAAACAUGCACACAAACAAAAAGGGGUAAGGAAAAAAAGCAAAGCAAGUUGGUGUUGUGGCUUAAUGCCAUAACAUAGUACCAUAGCAUACCAUGUCAGUACCACCUACGAAGCUCAGUCGCAGGCUAAACCCACCUCUGCUGUUAGUAUUUCCGCAUUCCUGACCCUGUUUGACUUAUUUGCCUCAACUUGCACAUGGAAAUUAUAUACAAUACUGUGCCUAGUCAAGCCUCUCGAUUGUUCUUCACCGCACAAGUUCAAGUAUUGACAUCAGGAGUGACGCUUCUUCACAUCAGCACUGACACGUAC
rnacentral:lncRNA from 1 species